rnacentral:rRNA from 2 species
GCAUAACACAUGCAAGUCGAACGAUGAAACUUAAAUGAUUUCUUCGGAAUGAACUUAAGUGGAUUAGUGGCGGACGGGUGAGUAACGCGUGAGUAACCUGCCUUACACAAGGGGAUAGCCGUUGGAAACGACGAAUAAUACCCUAUGAUGUUUCUAUCUCGCAUGAGAUAUUAACCAAAGUGUUAGCGGUGUAAGAUGGACUUGCGUCUGAUUAGCUAGUUGGUGAGAAAAAAGCCCACCAAGGCAACGAUCAGUAGCCGGCUUGAGAGAGUGUACGGCCACAUUGGGACUGAGACACGGCCCAGACUCCUACGGGAGGCAGCAGUGGGGAAUUUUGCACAAUGGGGGAAACCCUGAUGCAGCGACGCCGCGUGAUUUAGAAGGCCUUCGGGUUGUAAAAAUCUUUUGUAUAGGAAGAAAAUGACAGUACUAUACGAAUAAGGUCCGGCUAAUUACGUGCCAGCAGCCGCGGUAAUACGUAAGGACCGAGCGUUGUCCGGAAUCAUUGGGCGUAAAGGGUACGUAGGCGGGGCAUUAAGUUAGAAGUCAAAGGCUAUAGCUCAACUAUAGUAAGCUUCUAAAACUGGCGACCUUGAGUAAUGGAAGGGAAAGUGGAAUUCCUAGUGUAGCGGUGGAAUGCGCAGAUAUUAGGAGGAAUACCGGUGGCGAAGGCGACUUUCUGGCCAUUAACUGACGCUGAGGUACGAAAGCGUGGGUAGCAAACA